ensembl:snRNA LOC120093924 U6 spliceosomal RNA
GUGCUUGGCUCCGAAGCACAGACACUAACACUGGAAUGAUGCCCAGAACACUAGCCUGGCCCCUGUGCAAUGAGAACACUUAAAUUUGUGAGCCGUGCUGUAUGUUU